rnacentral:piRNA from 1 species
UGGUUCCUUGUGAGCACUGAUUGCUGC